GACGAACGCUGGCGGCGCGCUUAACACAUGCAAGUCGAACGGAAAGGCCUGCUUUCCCUUGUGGAUUGCGGGUACUCGAGUGGCGAACGGGUGAGUAACACGUGAGUGAUCUGCCCCCAACUUGGGUAUAAGCCUGGGAAACUGGGUCUAAUUCCCGAUAGGGCUGCAGGGUGGUGCCUGUGGUGGAAAACGAUUUUCUAGUGGUUGGGGAUGAGCUCGCGGCCUAUCAGCUUGUUGGUGGGGUAAUGGCCUACCAAGGCGGCGACGGGUAGCCGGCCUGAGAGGGUGGACGGCCAGAUUGGGACUGAGAUACGGCCCAGACUCCUACGGGAGGCAGCAGUGGGGAAUAUUGCACAAGGGGCGGAAGCCUGAGGCAGCGACGCCGCGUGGGGGAUGACGGCCUUCGGGUUGUAAACUCCUUUCGACCGCGAGGAAGCCACCUGGUUGGAAGGGUGGUGACGGUAGUGGUAGAAGAAGCACCGGCUAACUACGUG
rnacentral:rRNA from 1 species